UGGGGAAUAUUGCACAAUGGGCGAAAGCCUGAUGCAGCAACGCCGCGUGAGUGAUGAAGGUCUUCGGAUUGUAAAGCUCUGUCUUUUGGGACGAUAAUGACGGUACCAAAGGAGGAAGCCACGGCUAACUACGUGCCAGCAGCCGCGGUAAUACGUAGGUGGCGAGCGUUGUCCGGAUUUACUGGGCGUAAAGGGUGCGUAGGCGGAUGUUUAAGUGAGAUGUGAAAUACCCGGGCUUAACUUGGGUGCUGCAUUUCAAACUGGAUAUCUAGAGUGCAGGAGAGGAGAAUGGAAUUCCUAGUGUAGCGGUGAAAUGCGUAGAGAUUAGGAAGAACACCAGUGGCGAAGGCGAUUCUCUGGACUGUAACUGACGCUGAGGCACGAAAGCGUGGGUAGCAAACAGGAUUAGAUACCCUGGUAGUCCACGCCGUAAACGAUGAGUACUAGGUGUAGG
rnacentral:rRNA from 1 species